UUCCUUGGAACAGGACGUCACAGAGGGUGAGAAUCCCGUGCGAUGAGAAGUCCAGUUUCGUGUAAAGUUCCUUCGACGAGUCGAGUUGUUUGGGAAUGCAGCUCUAAGUGGGUGGUAAAUUCCAUCUAAAGCUAAAUAUUUGCGAGAGACCGAUAGCGAACAAGUACUGUGAAGGAAAGAUGAAAAGAACUUUGAAAAGAGAGUGAAAAAGUACGUGAAAUUGUUGAAAGGGAAGGGCUUGAGGUCAGACUUGGUUUACCAGGCCAGCAUCAGUUUGGGUGGCAGGAUAAUAGCUAAGGAAAGUGGCACAAUUUCGGUUGUGUGUUAUAGCCUUGGUUGAUACUGCCUGCCUAGACUGAGGACUGCGUCUUUGACUAGGAUGCUGGCAUAAUGACCUUAAGCCGC
rnacentral:rRNA from 1 species